rnacentral:lncRNA from 1 species
CAUGCUAGAUAAUCCUCCUAGAUCAUUAUUAGAUGCAACUUGUUACCUAUCUGGCAAUUCCACCUCUCCUCAAUAAUGUUAGUAUAUUCGUCAGCAUGAUUUGGAUCCACUUGUUUCAUCUUGGCCUUGAUUUGAUAGUCAUCAUCAUAUGAUUCAAGAAGCUUAUUUGGAGGUUCGUCUCACAAUUCACAACCCUUAGCACUCGAUCUUCCAUGCCACAAGCAUAUUUGCUCUCAUGCCACUAUGCACUCAACGAACAUCUGGAUAGGUCACCUUUCUUAUGCACUGUAGUAUGUGGCGAAGCAUGUGCUAGCUUCAGUAUCUCACCCCUGUUGUGAUUCCUUAUGUGAGCCAGCAUCCAUAUGUGGGUUAUAUGUCACUUGCAGUCUUGUCUUUAUCUAUCAGUAUUAGGUCAUAUAGUGGACUGCAAAGAGAUCCAUAAAAUGCACAGCCUCCCGAUCA